GUAUUUUCUUCUUUCUUCUCCUUCUUGCUGUUUUUCAUUCUUCUAUUAUUAACUGAGAGACCCGAGAGGGAGAGAGACCAAAACCCAACAGAACCCAGAAACCCAUCUCGGCAGACCAAACCCCAACUCGGUUCUGCCAUACCACCGAAGCCAUAGAACCCAUAACACCGAGAACCCAGAUUUCCAGCAAAGAACCCCGGCAACCCAAACCCCAGCAGCCCGACAGUCCAGCCCAAUUCCAGCAACCGUAACCAGCCGAACCUCCGGCGUUUCGGUCUGGGCAACCGUGACCAGCCGAUUACCGGCAGCAACCCAAACAGUGAAGCCGACCCAGCAACCCAGAACCGGAACCUGCCAAGCCCAGCAAGAAUCCAAAGAACCCGUGAACUGAACCCAUAGUUCCGGCCGAAACCAGUGGCCGUCAGCCCAGUCUAUCCCGGCGACCCAACCAGUCAAUCCGUGAAGCCCGAACCCGACGGAACCAGUUCUGGCCGUGACCGGCGAACCCAGCCACCGUCGACGCAGUGACCGUGCGUGACCCAGACGGCAAACCCAAUGACCGUGACCAAACUCUUUUUCCAAAUCCUCCUUUUCUCCUUAUCUGGCCGAAUCAGAGCAAUGCGAGAGAUCAAGAGUGAGAUUUGGUGAGGGGCUGACCGGAUAUAGGAGAUCCAGCAUAGAAGGGAGAAAACCCAGUGAAGCCCGCGACCCAGACGGCCCAGCAAGCACGAGCCCGAAUUAUGAAGACCCGCAAACCGUGAACCUCGGUCCAAACAGACGACCCAGCUCGAACCCGAUUCAACCCAGCCCAAAACCGAGCCCAUUGAUCUAACCCGGAAACCCGACCCGCCGGUGACCCAUCUCCGGCAGACUUCCGGCGACUUUUCCGGCGACUUUCCGGUGAUUUUCCAACGACUUUCCGGUGACUUUUCCGGUGAAAUUUCCGUGACCGAACUCAUCAUUUUCACUAGAUUUUUCUAGUGAAAAUUAUUAUUUAAUAAAUCAAGAAGUGAUACAAGGAGAGUAAAAGCCCGAUCCCGAUAUUAGGGAAAGUCCAAGUUAUGAACAGAGAGACGUAGGUGGCCGGGAUGGGAUCUAGGAAUGCAUUAGGACAUUUCAUUUAUGUUACCCCAUUAAAUUUUCAGUUAUUGUAUUUUUACAAUUAAAUGACCGUUUCCGCAUUUAUUAAAAACUCUGAGAUUUUGAAACCAUUAUUAUUUUUAUUUAUUUAAAUCAGCAUACUAGUUAAGAUA